rnacentral:rRNA from 1 species
AUUGAACGCUGGCGGCAUGCCUUACACAUGCAAGUCGAACGGUAACGCGGGGCAACCUGGCGACGAGUGGCGAACGGGUGAGUAACGCAUCGGAACGUGCCCAGUAGUGGGGGAUAGCCCGGCGAAAGCCGGAUUAAUACCGCAUACGACCUACGGGUGAAAGGGGGGGAUCGCAAGACCUCUCGCUAUUGGAGCGGCCGAUGUCAGAUUAGGUAGUUGGUGGGGUAAAGGCCUACCAAGCCUGCGAUCUGUAGCUGGUCUGAGAGGACGACCAGACGCACUGGGACGGAGACCCGGCCCAGACUCCUACGGGAGGCAGCAGUGGGGAAUUUUGGACAAUGGGCGCAAGCCUGAUCCAGCCAUGCCGCGUGCGGGAAGAAGGCCUUCGGGUUGUAAACCGCUUUUGUCAGGGAAGAAAAGCCUUGGGUUAAUACCCUGGGGUGAUGGCGGUACCUGAAGAAUAAGCACCGGCUUACUACGUGCCAGCAGCCGCUGUAA